rnacentral:rRNA from 1 species
UACGUAGGGGGCAAGCGUUGUCCGGAAUCAUUGGGCGUAAAGAGCGUGUAGGCGGCCAGAUAAGUCCGCUGUGAAAUCUCGAGGCUCAACUUCGAGCUGUCGGUGGAAACUGUCUGGCUAGAAGCCGGAAAGAGGAGAAUGGAAUUCCUGGUGUAGCGGUGAAAAUGCGCAGAUAUCAGGGAAAGAACACCCCGUGGGCGAAAGGCGGUUUCUCUGGGGACGGUACUGACGCUGAGACGCGAAAGCGUGGGGGAGCAACA